rnacentral:lncRNA from 1 species
UUCCCGCAUUGAUUUCCUGUUUGAUUUGUGUCCCUCUGGGUUUUCUAGGGCUCUCUGUGUGGUCCUAGGAUUCAAACUAUUCCCUGGAGCCUGGUGGGCUCACCAGUAGGUAUUCAACUGAAGACAAAGGAGCCCCAUCUCCCAGAGUCUAUCACCAGCCAUAGUUGAGCAGUAAGGAGAAGGGCCCCAUGAGCACCUCCUUUUCUCGGUGACGUUGUUAAUUGUGUUUACAGGGAGACCUUCCCAUUCAGCACUUCAGAGUCCUCAGUGCCCUUGGAUUUGGUAAUUGAGGAGUUGAAGUCUUUGGAGGACUUUCUGUUGCUUUGUCUUUUCCUGUUUCUGUGUUACAACCUGUGCAGGUGCUGAUUUAUUUAUCUCUCCUGUUUUACCCGUGAAUCUUCUUAGAGGGAAGGCUGUUCUUACGCGGUCCAUCUCUGUACCACUCGGUGAAGAUAAAAGUAAUUACGGUAACAGCAACAGUGCCCGUAUAAACUGAUGACAUGCCCUCCCCCUGAUAUGGACAAGAGGAAGGUUUUUCUUGUAGAUAGGAGAGAGGACAGCCAGAGGCAUAGGAAGAGUCCAGAGCAGAGAGAGAAAGUAGGAGACUGAACAUGGCCAUCAGACUGGUCCUGGGCAAGAGAGAAGCAGGAGCAGGACAGAGAGAGCAGGAGAGAGAGCAAGAGAGAGAGCAAGAGAGAGAGAGUGAGCAGGAGAGAGAGCAGGAGAGAGAGAGAGCAGGAGAGAGAGCAGGAGAGAGAGCAAGAGAGAGAGCGAGCAGGAGAGAGAGCAGGAGAGAGAGAGAGCAGGAGAGAGAGAGCAGGAGAGAGCAGGAGAGAGAGAGAGCAGGAUUGAACAGAGAAAGGGCGAGGAGGGAGACAGACAGAGGAGACAGAGUGAAGGAGCCUAGCCCAGCAUAGCAGGGUUAUAAGGAGAGUGAACAGCAGUGGGGAGGGAAGUCAUGAGCUGGGGAGGUUUAGGAAGGGCCAGGACACCAGCAUGAAUCUGAAAUGUGUGACACUGAGAGAACCUGUAUCCCAGCAUGCACUUGGUGUACUAAUAGGCAUUCCAGAUAACCAUUAGCCCCAUGACAGUGAUAAGGAAAGAACUCUCCUUUUGUUAGAGCAUAAUCAGCCCCACAGAUUCCUGAAGAAUGCUGGCUUUUGUCUAACCUCUGGAUUUGGAGGGAAAACUGUGUUUCCUUUGGAGCCAACACUACCAACCUGAACAAGAUACAAACC